GCGAGUUGGAGGUCUGUCUUACUUUACUUCAAUUCAUAAGAUUAAUUGUUUAAAAGUAGAUAAUCUAAUGGUAGUAUCUUCUGUUCCAAUCCUCACAAUGGAUGAUAGCUGUGUUUAUUGGAGUUAGUCGUCAAUGCAUUUGAAGGACAGGAAUUUUGCUAAUGUAAUGAACUACUAGAUUUUUAAGUUAA
rnacentral:other from 1 species